AGUGAACGCUGGCGGCAGGCCUAACACAUGCAAGUCGAACGGCAGCACAAGAGAGCUUGCUCUCUGGGUGGCGAGUGGCGGACGGGUGAGGAAUGCAUCGGAAUCUGCCCAUUUGUGGGGGAUAACCUCGGGAAACCGGGACUAAUACCGCAUACGACCUACGGGUGAAAGCAGGGGAUCUUCGGACCUUGCGCAGAUGGAUGAGCCGAUGCCGGAUUAGCUAGUUGGAGGGGUAAAGGCCCACCAAGGCGACGAUCCGUAGCUGGUCUGAGAGGAUGAUCAGCCACACUGGGACUGAGACACGGCCCAGACUCCUACGGGAGGCAGCAGUGGGGAAUAUUGGACAAUGGGCGCAAGCCUGAUCCAGCCAUGCCGCGUGUGUGAAGAAGGCCUUCGGGUUGUAAAGCACUUUUGUUGGGAAAGAAAAGCAGCCAGUUAAUACCCGGUUGUCAUGACGGUACCCAAAGAAUAAGCACCGGCUAACUUCGUG
rnacentral:rRNA from 1 species